UACGUAGGGUGCAAGCGUUGUCCGGAAUUAUUGGGCGUAAAGAGCUCGUAGGCGGUUUGUCGCGUCUGCUGUGAAAACUCGGGGCUUAACUCCGGGCCUGCAGUGGGUACGGGCAGACUAGAGUGCGGUAGGGGAGACUGGAAUUCCUGGUGUAGCGGUGAAAUGCGCAGAUAUCAGGAGGAACACCGGUGGCGAAGGCGGCGUUCUGGACGGCAUCUGACACUGAGAAACGAAAGCCAGGGGAGCAAACGGG
rnacentral:rRNA from 1 species